GGCCUGUUAGCUCAGCUGGUUAGAGCGUGGUGCUAAUAACGCCAAGGUCGUGGGAUCGAUUCGAUCCCCACAUGGGCCA
rnacentral:tRNA from 1 species